AUUCCGAUUAAGUUUGCCAGAUUUCACAACUGUACAUGGGAGCUGAUGUGUCAGGCUUUCUAGCCUGGGUACAAAUGAGGUCACGUUUAUGGUUAAGCAAUAGCUUCUAGCUCCAUUGGCUUUAGUUCCAGGAAUCUAGGCUUUCUCCACAACUAAGUCCUGGGUGUCUCCAUCCACUGGUGCAAUAUUCUGCACUCCAACUCUAACACUGACCCCCCUCAUUUCCUGUACUGCUGGGCCAAUUGCCAGUUGAGGACCCCUAGGACUGGUGACUUGGGCCCAGAGUCUGGACACACACCAGGUAAGUCUCCACAGGAAAAGGCAAGCAUUGUCUUCCCUUAACUCACUAUUUUAGAAUGAAUCAGGGGCUUCUCAAGCCUUAUCCCCCCUAUUUCCAGGUCCAGGGUCAUCACACCAAUCUGACACUGCUGUACCCCUCCAGGAACCUUGGCUCUAGCUUCCCUGCCCUUUUGAUAAUGAUCAUCUUGGGGACUCAAAACCCUUUCCACAUUAGAGUCUUGCUAUACACACACCAGGUUUUAGCUUUGAUCGUCGGUGGGAAUGGUGGGUAAUCAGGGCCUGCUAAGCCUUUGCUCUCUGGAAGCCUGCCUGGCAGACACACUUGCACAUGGAGGGGACUAUUUGACUUUGUUGGAUGGGCUAACGCCUCCAUACACAGAGAGAACUCAGAGGAGGUGGUCACAAAACCUACCCAGUCAUGGACUAACCUAACGCAGCCCCAAAUGUUCCGCUGCAGGUAACAGUUGGGCUAUCUCAAUGUCACAGAUGGUAUCUCUAGUCAGGAAAGCUGAGAGACAAAACUUCCAAGCGGGGACCCUCAUUUCUGGGUCUGCACAGCCCUGAGUCUCCGCCAGCAGGUUCCUGAAGGCCCAACCCUGACAGAGGGCUCUUGUCCCGAUACCCUCAGUCCUCCACAGCCAAACGCCUUGAUUCUCUUCUUUACGUUUCCCUCCAGUGGCCCACAGGUGGCUCCACAGUGCCACCUAAAUGUUGCUACAGUCACCAUGGCCUGGAAGUACCUACCUACUCUCCAUGGCUUCUGAGCCAAUGGGAAUGACAGACUCAGGAGGAAGCCGCUCUGCUUCUACCCUCCCUGCUCACCUUUCCUGUUCUCUCCCCG
rnacentral:lncRNA from 1 species